rnacentral:lncRNA from 1 species
UUGGCAAAAUUACUUUAUCAUCAAUAACAAUAAAAUAAUUAUAUACAUUCAUUGACAUACAUUCCCUUAAACAUGUGAAUAAUUAUAAGAAUGUCACAUCUUAUCAAAUAUUAAUCAAACAAGAUGAAGAGAGAUUCAAUAUCGGUUUACACUAUAAAUAUAACACAACCUGACUUUUAAUACCAAUUAUUGGAAAAAAAAAUCCAAUUUGAAAAUGGUUUUCUUACACAGCAGCAAAUUAAAAUUUUGAAAACCGGCACGGUUUGUGAUAUUUAUAACAAUAAACCUUAGACCGAAAUUGUACCUAUGUUUUCGAAUAAGUGAAUCCUUGAUUUUUUUGGCUUUCAACCAAACGAUCUUCUUCGCUAUUCUCGUAUCACGAACUGCUUCGAGUGUGGGCUCGAACCAAUUGAACCAAACGAUCUUUUUCUUAUGGGGUUAAAAUGAAAAUUCUCUCUC